UCUAUUUAUACCAACAAGAAAAUAUAAAUCAAAGAGAAAAGAAAAUUUCUAUCUCCAAUAAGAUUCAAAGAUCGUAAAAAUCUUCCAAUAUUAACAUCUCAACGAAACCAAAUUUCCAUGAAAUCAAAACCCCAUAAAACUAGACAUCAAAUUAUAAAAGUCAAUAGCAAAUUUCAAAUUUAUAGGACAUGUUUAAAAUCCAAUUAGUAUAAUGUAUUACAUACACACACAUGAAGGAUUUCACAACUUGAAAAGCAAACAUCCACUCAUAAAGAGUUAAACCAAAGAAGACUGACAUGCACACAUGAAGAAUUCAUACUUUCAUGCAUAUACACACAUGAAGAAAAGUCAAUCUUACCCACAUGCAUACUAAAAUCUUACACACACAUGACCCUGUAUGUUAAAAUCAACAGAGAACACAGGACUUCAAUCAAGGUGAGACGACAGACAACAUGUGUAACCUGAACAGAUGAAAACCCCAAGACAUGUAUGUUUUCUACAAUCAACACCAAGGACACUGGAAUAAUUUGGAAAUUAAAGACUGAUGGUGAAGGGGUCACAUAAGAAUUCAUCAUACAUGUUAACUUCACAUAUAGGUACAUGCAUAUACAGUCAUACAUAAAGUACAACAUAAAGAAAUCUCAUGGAAGGGGUAAGUAACAACUCAUAAAUAAUGCACACACAUAAUUCAUAUUGACAUAUUUUUUAGUUUCUGCAGGACUCGGGCAGACAGGAAGAUAUACAAUUUGAAUGACUUUUGAACAGAACUCAUAUGCAAAUGUAACAUAGCUAGGGAAGUUGAAACUCAAGGUAGAUAGGGACAGAUUGCUAUUAUAUCUAUAAUUAGUUAAGAAACAUGUUUACCUUAGGAAUCGAUAGUGUUAUAAAAGCUCUUAGAAUAUGUCAUACUUCAUUGAAAUAAGAAAGUUUACUUUGUUACAAAACUGUUUUGAUUGUUGAAUCAGUUAUGUGUGUUCAAAACAUAUUUUUGUAUUGAAUUUAUUUUUUUCAUUUCCUCUUCCAUUUUCCUACAAUCCCAAAUCUUAUAUUAGAAGUUAGAUAGAUUAGAAUAGUAAAGAUAGAUUAAGUUUUUAUUUUGGGGGUUGUGGAAUAUUUAGGAUAGUAUAUUCUCAUAGAAUAGACAGAAUGAAUUAGAAUAUAAUUUUGGUAAGUAUUAUAAAUAUGGUACAAAAACUCUGGUUGACUUUUGUGGAAAAAACUGAAAUGGAGAUUUUGUGAUCAAGAGAAAUGGGCAAAGACAGAAGAAAAGAGAUGAAAUGCAAAGAAGAUGAGCUCAGGAAGAACAGAUGGAAUUCUCCAGACCCAGUGGGGGAGGGGAGAAUUCCAUAGAAGGUUCAAGAGGAGGAGCAGUUAGCCAGAACAGUUUCUGGUCUGGUCACUUCAACAUUACAAAACUUAGAAAAAAAAAGAAAGCAUCUUGGAGAAGAGAAUGAUCAGCAAUGACUAAGAAUGAACCAAGGAAAGCAUCAUGAAUCUGCAAGAGAACAGAGAGGCCCAGAGGAGACGUCCUGCCCAGGAGGUGAGGCAUAGUUCAGACUGUUCUGUAAAGAAACCACAGACAUCCAGCCUGGCAGAGCACAAUUGAUUACUAAACUAGGACAUGACAGGAUGGUUGUGCAUAGUUUGCCUGAAGUUUAGCAAAACUUUUGGUAAAACAUCACACACUUAUGGAGAAGAUGAAGAAAUGAGGAAUGGAUAGUAGAUAAUUCAACCAGAUGGAUUCAUAACUGAUUGGAUGGUUAGAUGCAAAGAGUAAUUGUUAAUGGUGCAAUCUCACUGUGGCAGGUCUCCAGUGGAGCACUCCAGGGAUCUGUAUCCUAACUGGUGCUGCUGAACAUUGGUAUCAAGGAUUUGGAUCAAUAUAUAGAUGAUAUCCUCAUCAAAUUUGCUAAUAACAUAAAACUAAGAGGGAAUACUAACAGUGCAAGGCAAAGUUGGCAUGCCAAAGUUGAGCGCUGGAAUAAAAUCUAAUAUUAGAGAUAAAUGGGACUGAUCAGUCUUGACCUGAACCUAUGACUUGUCCACAUCAGUGUCUUUCCAGUGCCUGACCCAGAUCCCAGUUCUGUCUUUGAGCCUGAACCAGAGCAGCACAGAUUCCCCAGAGAUGGAAGAGAUCUUGAAAAACCAACUAAUUCAUCCCUCUGUCCCCAAGCUUUACUGUGUUCAGAUUGGUCCAAGCCAAGACAGUCCCGCCCUGAAGAUUUGGAAAACAUAUAAGGAUGCUUGGUAGUGGAGGGCAAGUCUACAAUUUAAUUCAAUAAAUUUACUAAGUAUCUGCUUCAUGAAAGGUACCAUUAAUAACUCAUAUUUAUAGUCUUCCAAAUUCGCAGACACUUUCUUCGCAGUAACCCUCUGAUUUGGAAGCUGAGGCUAAGAUGAAGUGACUUGUUUAUGAUCUCACAGUAAGCAAAUAUCAUGGGCAGAAUAUGAAAUCCAAUUGCCAGCCUCCUGAUCCUGAAUCUUGAGGAUGAUUGAUCUGGGGAGUGCUCCCUCUCCUGCCAGCCUAGGACUCCAUGGGAAACUAGAGUUCUUCAAGGAUUGGGUUAAUAAACAGAUUCCAUGACUCGA